rnacentral:rRNA from 1 species
AACUUUUAGCAACGGAUCUCUUGGCUCUCGCAUCGAUGAAGAACGCAGCGAAAUGCGAUAAGUAAUGUGAAUUGCAGAAUUCAGUGAAUCAUCGAAUCUUUGAACGCACCUUGCGCUCCUUGGUAUUCCGAGGAGCAUGCCUGUUUGAGUGUCAU